GAUGAAAACUUUAAGGAACAAUGAAGGAGAGAGGUGCCGCUCUGAACCGGACUAAGGUGCAGAACUGGAGUGAGUUGUUGUCCCCCAACCCCCGAAUUGGAGCACUGCACUGAAUAAAAGCUUAAGAUACAAA